rnacentral:rRNA from 1 species
UACGUAGGGGGGCGAGCGUUGUCCGGAUUCAUUGGGCGUAAAGCGCGUGUAGGCGGCCAGAUAGGUCCGUUGUGAAACCCGAGGCUUAACCUCGGGACGCCGACGGAAACCAUCUGGCUAGGGUCCGGAAGAGGAGAGUGGAAUUCCCGGUGUAGCGGUGAAAUGCGCAGAUAUCGGGAAGAACACCCGUGGCGAAGGCGGCUCUCUGGGAC